CACCGACGCAAGCACCACCACCACCACCCGGUUGUAAGGACAACUGGAAUGCGUGUGAAGCAAACAAACAUUACUGCGCAACGUGGCCACAAAUUAAAAGAUAUUGUCCAAAGACAUGCAAUGCAUGUUAGAUUUGGAAAGCAUCAAACAGAGGCUUGGAUUCAAUUGUUGCAGCAUAAAGGAUGAUUUAAGCUUAAGUGAAAAUAAAAUUAGUAUUUAGCUGCAAAUUGA